UAAAAGCCAUUUGCCCUCUGUCACCCAACCAAUCAGGAUUCAGCCAAGGGGAAGCUGAGCAGUAGCCUGGCAGUUUUCUUUGGGCUCCUCUGCAUUUCCGCAACCUGGUUCAGCAGAAUGUCACAGAAAAUUAACUCCCCUGGGUUAUCAAGGACCCCUCCUCACUAAGGAGCAAUAUAGGAUUUCAGGCUAAUAUUUACCCCUCCCCAAGCAACACCUUGUGAUGUGCCAGAAGAGGCAGAAGCGCAGCAGGCAUCACAUACAAGCCCUGGGUAACACCUGCUGCUUUGAACUGUUGGAAUGAAAGGCCGAGGAGCGGACGCUGCCAGUCCACGCCUCGGCUAUUCACUCCCGCUGCCCGCUUGGAGCAGACUUGAAAUUGAUGUCAGCGUCUAAGCCACCCAGCUGAUCCCAGAACCUCAAAAUUCCUCCAACGUUAUCAUGCAGAGCAAUUUACCUCUGUCUUGGACUACAUCUAAACGCCAUCAAAAUGGUCUAAGUAUUUGCUAAAAUGAAGGCAGUUCUCUCCCCUAAGAGGAAUUCUGCCACAGCUCAGCUAAGGAGUUAUGUUGGAGAAUUCCAUUAUCCACUUUUUAUCCACCAAGGCAUUGCACUUCCUGGAAUGAACCUCGUUCUCCCUUGUUUGAUUAUAGGUGGAGCCAAGGUCAGUAUGGACAGGAAUCAUGUGUAUGUCAAUACCUGCUACCCACUCGGUGCCUGAUAUACAGUUGGUGCCUAAUAACUAUUUGCUGACAGAAUGAGUGGAUGGAUGAAUCCAUGUGAGGAGCAGGAGUAACUCACUCAAAGUCACUAAUGAGGUAGCAGAACCAAGACUCUACCCAUGGCUGCUGGACUCCCAAGCCCAAGCUCUUACAUGUCAUGCAGAGAUUUCCUCCACCUCCUUUCCCCCAGCUCCCAAACAAAAACAAUACCUUAAUGUGUACAGGAAAACAGAUCCUGUCUCUUGCCAAACACACACCUUUAAUCAUCUCUUUGUGGGAAUUUAAACUCCACGGCAUAGCAUCUUUCAUCUUUGGGAAAAGGCUGAAUUCCUCCGAGGCUGUAUACUGGAUGCUCUUUACUGAGCAGGGUGUGAAGUGAUAAAGGAAGACAAAGAUAAAGGCGCUGCCCUCAGGAUGAUUUGAAUCUAAAGCACUGGGUUGAUACCACUCGGAGUGGUGUAAGAAGCCCAGACCAAGCC